AUGAAAUCGAAACUACGGUU
rnacentral:snRNA from 1 species